GCGCAAAAAGAGGCAAAAUGGCAACAAAAAUGCAGCUCAACGAAGGAAAAGUGAAGAAAAGUGCGGCAAUGUGUGAUAUAUAUACUGCACCUGAUUUCGAUCUCUUUCUCUUGUGGAUCUCCGGACUCAAGGACAUUAAAGGAAGCAGCAAAGUGCCAGGCAUGGAACUGCGCUUGAAGACUGAAAGAUGUCAAUCGACUGAAGCCAUAUUUAACUCCAUUUCAAGGGCUAAUAGCCGGACACUUGCGACACUUACAACACGGAAAUCUCAGUGGGCAAUUCUCCACUUUAGCAGAAAAGAUAGGCAGAAGGCCCGCAGCCUCAGCAGCAGCCAGAGGACCAGGAAUCAAAUGGGAGUGGAGGUCAGUUAUGUAUAUAAAAAGGAUUUCUUCGCGAAUUCUUCGUCGUCGUGCGGAUUACAUGGAAAAUAUUACGGCACGACGUACGUGCUUCGCAGGUGCAUACUUCACCGACACCGUCUUCCCUCCUGCACGAUGCUUUCUUUAUCUCAUCGGCUUUGAUCGGCAAUGUGGCGUCCCGACCGCUGCAGCAGGGACAAGUGAUCGACGGCGGAAUGUCAGCAAAGCUUCGAGACGCAGGAUCUAUGUACCCCACGCUUUACCACAAACCGAGUCGUAUCCGAUUUCCCCCGCCAGACGGAGUCCUAUUAAAGCAUUGCCGAGGCGGAUUCGAGACAGACCAAGACCUAGAAGCACACCCUUGCCAUCGUUAUCCUUCAACCCGGCCAUCGACAACAAGGUCUUUGACGAUGGGAAUACGCGGGCUACUAGACUCCAGAUAUAUUUCGUUCUAUGUAGUUCGGUUUAAGGAUAUACGCGUCCAUAUAUUUAAAUAGUAAAUAAAAAUGUUUUCCCCUUGUUUA